UCAAAGGCAAAGACCGGGAAAAGUAAAUCGGCAGCGGUUGCCAGAGAGGCGCAGACAUCGCUGAAAGUCGCGCCCAGCCCAACCCGAUUGAAGUUCUCCCGCGAGCCACUCAGGUGAACGAUUUUCGCAAUCUGCGUAGUCUGAGCCGCGCCCCAGCGUUAUUGGGAAGCCGAUGACUGUCGGCGCAAAGUGAGCCAAAAAUGGCUAAGUUGGGUGGUACCGCGAGAUUUCUCCCUCUCGUCCCAAUC
rnacentral:ncRNA from 1 species